rnacentral:rRNA from 1 species
AUUGAGCGCUGGCGGCAUGCCUUACACAUGCAAGUCGAACGGCAGCACGGGAGCAAUCCUGGUGGCGAGUGGCGAACGGGUGAGUAAUAUAUCGGAACGUGCCCAGUCGUGGGGGAUAACGCAGCGAAAGCUGUGCUAAUACCGCAUACGAUCUAAGGAUGAAAGCGGGGGAUCGCAAGACCUCGCGCGAUUGGAGCGGCCGAUAUCAGAUUAGCUAGUUGGUGGGGUAAAGGCCCACCAAGGCGACGAUCUGUAGCUGGUCUGAGAGGACGACCAGCCACACUGGAACUGAGACACGGUCCAGACUCCUACGGGAGGCAGCAGUGGGGAAUUUUGGACAAUGGGCGCAAGCCCGAUCCAGCAAUGCCGCGUGCAGGAUGAAGGCCUUCGGGUUGUAAACUGCUUUUGUACGGAACGAAACGGCCCUUUCUAAUACAGGGGGCUAAUGACGGUACCGUAAGAAUAAGCACCGGCUAACUACGUGCCAGCAGCCGCCGUAA